AUGUAUGUCUGGAGCACACCAUAUUAAAGGAGGGAGUGGCAGAAAACGUGAGGUGGGAAUCAAAUCAUGCUGGGCUUUUUGGCCAGCAAACUUGGAAAUCAUGUCUUAGAGAUCAAGGAGCCAAGAGAUGAGACAAGCCUGGGUUCCUAGGUGAUAGGGUGUGGCUGUGUCCCCACCCAAAUCUCGUCUUGAAUUGUAGCUCCCAUAAUCCCCACAUGUUGUGGAGGGACCCUGUGGAAGAUCUUUAAUAAAUGAAAUAAAUGUGACUGUAUGUCCUACAUCCCAUUCCUGUUGUCUUCCAUGUCUCCUCAGAGGAAGGCCUGAGGAGAGAAGACACAUAGUCAUGCUGACUAAACCAGAUCACCUAGAAUUACCAAAUGGAAAGAUUGUGCCUGCAGCCUGGCCUGUUGCCCACAGCGGUCUACCUGCCACACUGGGAAAGAUCGAGCAGAGACAGAGAAGAAAAGGAGGCUCCAUUUUUCAGGCUGCUCUCCCGCAGGCUCAUGUUUUGUGUUCAUGCCAGGCAGAGAACACAAAAUGUUCCAAUAAAUAAGUAUCAAAGAUGUACCCAUAGGGUCAAGCUCCAGCACAGAGACCCAUCCUGGGAUGCAGGACUUGGUGCCAGGGAAGUCCCAGGAUAAGUCAAUUGAGCUUCACUUCUCUAAUUGAAAUCACCGUGCUGAUGGAGUCUGUCUGUGGAAAUGAAAGGUGGCUACCAUAAUCUGUUGGGAGUUGAAUUAAUCCUCUGGGAGUGAGGCUGACCUAAUUACUCAGAAAUACUGGGCUUGCUUUCAUUCUGUGGAAUACAGCCAUGAGAAAGAGGCCAGCAUGCCAUUUCCUAAUCUUUUCUUGAAUUGCCUGAAACUCACCUAACAUGAAACUGAGAAGCCUUUUCAUUUGAAAGUGGUAUUUCUUAUGUUUUUUAUCUUUUUGCUUGAAAGUAUUCUUAAACUAAAGAAAGGAGAAACAGAAAAGGUGAAGAAGCCAAGAGGCUGGAGUUUCCUUUUGAAUGGAUAUUCAUCCAUGAAGCUGUUGAUUCUGUUUUUCUGUUCCUCCAGAUGUCUACACUUUUACCUCUGCUUGCCUGAUACAACCACCACCAGUCACCUCACAGAAUAACUCACUCCUUAAGAAUCUGAUCAGGAAUCAGCCUUCCCUGAUCACAAACACUGAGUUUAGAAGUCCCUCCACAGUGUCCCCCGUAACCCUGUGCUACCUCACUGCCUCAUAGUUUAGUGCCGUUUGUGUACAUGCCUAUCUUCGUCCAUGGAUCCAGAACAACUUGUAAAAAUGACUGUACUUAUCACCUUCAGUAUUCAAUGACUAAACUAUAAUUUUAACAUAUCUGGCAGAAUGAAUCACUUGGGGAUUUCUGCCAACACUACCAAUAUAUUACUCCUAAUUUGUAAUUAUUACUUAGCAUGGAUUAUAGUACCGGCUGUUGGAGAGCCAAUGUGGCAGACCCUAAGUGGAAUAAAAUGUCAGUAGCAGUCUAGGAGCAUAUAUUUAUUGGAAUAGAUCAUUCAUUCAUUUGUUCAUUAACUAAUUUGUUCAUUAAAUAAACAUUUAUUAAG
ensembl:lncRNA CCDC26 CCDC26 long non-coding RNA